CUUUAGUAAGCAGAGACAGUAGUUCAAGCUCAGCUGUCACGCUCAGAAGUGAGGAACUAAAGUUGUUUGACCAAACUACUGCCAGUGUCUUUGUAUCCUCGAGUGGCUGCGGUAGCUAUUUCCAACUUUACAAGUGCAGCCACUGGAUGAAGUGGCACGUUACAUUUUGUCGAUCCGCCUGAGAAACUCUUAAAAGCAGGAAGUCCUUUUUGUGAAUACUCAUCCGCACAGUCCAAGGAAGUGCUGACUUGUCCUCUCUUUCUGGAUCUCUCCCUCUGGUGCUGCCUCUCCUGGGACAGGAACUGCUGAGGCUAAAGAGAUAGUGAUUUUGCACACUGUAAGAUGUAAAAUGAGUGCACUCAGUUAUAUUCCCCCGUCGGAUAAGCAGAUACAAAAUUUGGGAUUCAAAGGAGAGAUCGUGGUGGAUUUUUUGAAGGAUCUGUCACGCCUUGCAUUUUAAAAAGACUCAGCUGUUUGGCUGCAUCCCAGCGAUUGCCGAGCUGCCUCUAGUGAGAUGAAAGCCAUAGAUGCAUGUGUACAUGCCACAGAGAGGUCGAUUCGUCCUGCCAAGUCUGCCUAAAUUCUGUCCCACUGACAGUCUGAGUGAACAGGGGCAACAACAGCAAGAUGAACACUGACUAUUUUUGUUCUGGUGACAGUGCAACUGUUAACUCUUUGCCAUGCACAUAUACCACAAGCCAGCAUUAAUCAAAAGAAAAAUACCCUUCCUUACCUACCACCUCAUGACCACUUUGACACUGUCCCUAUUUACAUUGUCAUUUUAUAUCAAGGGCUCACAGAUGCCCCUGCAUCCCCUCCCGAUCAUGUCAAGUAGGUGCUUGGAAACUCCUUGUGACAAACUGUUGCCUCAACCUUUGAAAUCCAAAAAGGCCCGGAGGCUUUUUUUUAAACAAGCAAGGCUGUUUUGUCUGGAUGGCAGCGAGCUCAGCUGCGACCAGUCACCACCAGUCAACAUUUGGAAAGGUGAUAACACCAUAAUACAUAACUGUGAGUGU